rnacentral:sRNA from 1 species
GAACAGCGGAGCCGGACGGGGAUCGCCGGCGGGCGGCAAGCGGAGGCGGCCCAGGCCCGGCGGUCUCCGAGAUGUCACGAUGGCUGUGGCCAUGGUCAAACUGUGUGAAAGAGCGGGUCUGCCGCUACUUGCUGCACCACUACUUAGGUCACUUCUUCCAAGAGCACCUCAGCCUGGACCAGCUCAGCCUCGAUCUGUACAAGGGCAGCGUUGCCCUGCGAGACAUCCACCUGGAAAUCUGGGUGAGGAGCCAGGCCCGAGUCCAGGAAGUCUGUGAACGAGGUGCUGGAGUCGAUGGAGUCACCGCUGGAGCUGGUGGAAGGCUUCGUGGGCUCCAUCGAGGUGGCCGUGCCCUGGGCUGCUCUGCUCACCGAUCACUGCACAGUGCGCGUGUCCGGCCUCCAGCUCACCUUGCAGCCCCGCCGAGGUCCAGGUGAGGGCAGGGCGAGGCUGGGGGCAGGCAAGUGGGGAGAGUGAGCCAGGGUGUCCAGGACCUGACUGGGCCUGCCUGCCUUGAGACCCUGUUUCCCCCUACAGCGCCAGGGGCUGCCGACUCACAGAGCUGGGCCUCAUGCAUGACCACAAGCCUGCAGCUGGCCCAGGAGUGUCUGCGGGAUGGGCUACCAGAGCCCUCUGAGCCACCACAGCCCCUGGAGGGGCUGGAGAUGUUUGCCCAGACCAUUGAGACUGGUGAGCAGGCCCCUCCUGGCCGCCCUGUCUCCUGCCCUUCAGUGGCACACAGAACAGGGGAUCCAGACAACGGCAUGGCCACCCUGGUGCCCAGAUGGGAAAUUCUGCCUCCCGUUUGCUGCUCCACCUGACCUGAGACCCCUCCCCGACUCCUCAGUGCUUCGGAGGAUCAAAGUGACCUUCCUGGACACUGUCGUGAGGGUGGAGCACUCUCCGGGUGAUGGGGAACGUGGUGUGGCCGUCGAGGUCCGUGUGCAGAGGUAAGGGCAGGCCGAUCUGGGGUGGACUGGUGUGAAGAUGGGGAGUGGGGGCUGCUGGAUGGUCCCCACCCGCAGCCUGGGUUCCUGGGAAGAGGCAGGGUGGAUCUGGGUGGUAGGGUUGGGGAGGUGGGCUGCAUCGUGAACCCGGACUGGUGUCCAGAGCCCAGGUGAUACAGGCCCAGAGUGGCCGAGGCCCCAAGAACCAAGUUAGAUGCUGAGGGUCUGAGGAGCAAGAGCUGGCCUGAGCCUCCGGGCUGGACAUGGCGGUUUAGGACGGCCUAGGUGUGAUGGAGCAGCUCUGCAGGCCAGGCUCCCUGACCCCGUGCCCCUAGAACAGAGCACUGUGUGGAGAGAGGGGCUCCAGGCCUGGGGUGGCCAGGGCACGGGCUGACCCUACACUCUCCAGACUGGAGUACUGUGACGAGGCAGUGCGGGACCCAAGCCAGGCGCCGCCGGUGGACGUGCAUCAGCCGCCUGCCUUCCUGCACAAGCUGCUGCAGCUGGCAGGGGUCCGCCUGCACUAUGAGGAGCUCCCGGCACAGGAAGAGCCUCCAGAGCCCCCCUUGCAGAUCGGCAGCUGCUCAGGGUACAUGGAGCUGAUGGUGAAGUUGAAGCAAAAUGAGGCCUUCCCUGGCCCCAAGGUGGGUCCCCAGGCUCCUGGGGAGGGGGUGAGUACCGCAUCUCAAGACUCCUCCUCCUCAGCAAGGCUGAUUAUCUGCAGACCAGAGUGGGGAUGUCAAGUGGGGGAUUUACUUCCUUCUUGGCAGCUAAAGAAACAGGCUGUAGGCCAGGCGCAGGGUUCACGCCUGUAAUCCCAGCACUUUGGAAGGCCAAGGUGGGUGGAUCAUCUGAGGUCAGGAGUUCGAGACCAGCCUGGCCAACAUGGUGAAACCCUGUCUCUGCUAAAAAUACAAAAUUAGCCAGGCGUGGUGGCACACGCCUGUAAUCCCAGCUUCUUGGGAGGCUGAGGCAGGAGAAUCUCUUGAACCCAGGAGGCAGAGGUUGCAGUGAGCCAAGAUUGCACCACUGCACUGCAGCCUGGGCAACAAGAGUGAAACUCCAUCUC